rnacentral:misc_RNA from 1 species
UGUGGGAGCGAGCCUGCUCGCGAUGGCGUCGGGUCAGUCGGUAUGGAUUUGACUGAUCUGGCGCUAUCGCGAGCAGGCUCGCUCCCACA